GAACUGUCAAGCUAGAGUGCAGGAGAGGAAGGUAGAAUUCCCGGUGUAGCGGUGAAAUGCGUAGAGAUCGGGAGGAAUACCAGUGGCGAAGGCGGCCUUCUGGACUGACACUGACACUGAGGUGCGAAAGCGUGGGUAGCAAACAGGAUUAGAUACCCUGGUAGUCCACGCCGUAAACGAUGUCGACCAGCCGUUGGGUGCCUAGCGCACUUUGUGGCGAAGUUAACGCGAUAAGUCGACCGCCUGGGGAGUACGGCCGCAAGGUUAAAACUCAAAUGAAUUGACGGGGGCCCGCACAAGCGGUGGAGCAUGUGGUUUAAUUCGAUGCAACGCGAAGAACCUUACCUACUCUUGACAUCCUGCGAAUUUGGUAGAGAUACCUUAGUGCCUUCGGGAACGCAGAGACAGGUGCUGCAUGGCUGUCGUCAGCUCGUGUUGUGAAAUGUUGGGUUAAGUCCCGUAACGAGCGCAACCCUUGUCCUUAUUUGCCAGCGCGUAAUGGCGGGAACUCUAAGGAGACUGCCGGUGACAAACCGGAGGAAGGUGGGGACGACGUCAAGUCAUCAUGGCCCUUACGAGUAGGGCUACACACGUGCUACAAUGGUCGGUACAAAGGGUUGCCAACUCGCGAGAGUGAGCCAAUCCCGAAAAGCCGAUCUCAGUCCGGAUCGGAGUCUGCAACUCGACUCCGUGAAGUCGGAAUCGCUAGUAAUCGUGGAUCAGAAUGCCACGGUGAAUACGUUCCCGGGCCUUGUACACACCGCCCGUCACACCAUGGGAGUGGACUGCA
rnacentral:rRNA from 1 species